AGUGAACGCUGGCGGUAGGCCUAACACAUGCAAGUCGAACGGCAGCACAGGAGAGCUUGCUCUCUGGGUGGCGAGUGGCGGACGGGUGAGGAAUACAUCGGAAUCUGCCCAGUCGUGGGGGAUAACGUAGGGAAACUUACGCUAAUACCGCAUACGACCUUCGGGUGAAAGAGGGGGAUCGCAAGACCUCUCGCGAUUGGAUGAGCCGAUGUCGGAUUAGCUAGUUGGCGGGGUAAUGGCCCACCAAGGCGACGAUCCGUAGCUGGUCUGAGAGGAUGAUCGGCCACACUGGAACUGAGACACGGUCCAGACUCCUACGAGAGGCAGCAGUGGGGAAUAUGGGACAAUGGGCGCAAGCCUGAUCCAGCCAUACCGCGUGGGUUAAGAAGGCCUUCGGGUUGUAAAGCCCGUUUGUUGGGAAAGAAAUCUUUCAGGCUAAUACCCUGGGAGAAUGACGGUACCCAAAGAAUAAGCACCGGCUAACUUCGUG
rnacentral:rRNA from 1 species